CAUACACUACAAGAAUAACGUUUCUUACCAGUAUGAGAGCGACUGUGCACAGUCAGAUUACUUUUCACUGAAAACUCUUAUUACACAUAGUACAGGAAUAAGGUUUCUCACCAGUAUGAGUGAGAACGUGGUUAUUUAGAUGUAUUUUCUGUAAAAAACUCGUAUUACAUAUACUACAAGAAUAAGGUUUCUCACCAGUAUGAGUGAGAACGUGGUUAUUUAGAUGUAUCUUCU